rfam:Solanum tuberosum cultivar DM 1-3 516 R44 scf00132_97, whole genome shotgun sequence.
AUUCCAUGAGCUGGGCAUUUCACGAAGAGUGCCUUGAAUCUCAACCACAAUUUAUGGAUGGAUUCUCCCUCGACUUGUCUAAAACUCAAGAUUUUAUCCCUGAGAGA